UACAGAGGUCCCAAGCGUUGUUCGGAUUCACUGGGCGUAAAGGGUGCGUAGGUGGCGGGGUAAGUCUGAUGUGAAAGCUUCGAGCUCAACUCGAAAAUGGCAUUGGAUACUAUUUCGCUGGAGGUUUGGAGGGGGGACUGGAAUUCUCGGUGUAGCAGUGAAAUGCGUAGAUAUCGAGAGGAACACCGGUGGCGAAGGCGAGUCCCUGGACAACACCUGACACUGAGGCACGAAAGCUAGGGGAGCAAAC
rnacentral:rRNA from 1 species